AUUCUCCUAGCAGCGAUUUUCUUGCCAGCAGUAAAAGCAGCAUCACUAUCAACAGAAGUUGAGAAAAUAAGAGUAACCUUGGAAGAAAAGUUAUUUUUUGACAACGAUGAAAGUCAAAGAGAAUAUACGAAGAGAUUGUUAAGCUACAUCACCACACGUAACUUUAAGUUAACUGUGUACAACAUAUUUCCGUUAGAUGCGACGUUCCCUUUCGUUGUUCUUAAUUUUUGUAUCACAUAUUUAAUUGUAAUUCUACAACUUAAUCACGUUUACUAAAAUAAAUGUGUGCACGACAAUUAAAAAAUUAGUAAAUUUAUUGUGAUUUGUAGUAAUGUCUGUUGUAUGUGUAGCAAUGUAUGUUGGAUCUAAAGAGUUUUAAAUCAAAUAAUCGGUUGGGUUGAUUUUUAUAUUAUUUUUAUUUUAGUUGUUUCGUAGUUGUAUCAUGUUUAACUGUAUGAAUACUAAUAAAGUGUGGUUUGAAAA